rnacentral:lncRNA from 13 species
CACAAAGAAUAUGAGAUUGUAUAAUUAUAAAAACUGUUUGUGAUCAGGGUCAUAUGAAGGGUGAGACAUGUGAACUUUAUCAUACAUUGUUCUUUUCGAAGUAUAUAUUGAGGAUAUAGACAUAAGAAAAGCCAUAAAAAUGUUUAAAAGAAAUUUUAGUGUUGUAAUGAGCCCUAACUUAAAGUACCAUAAAAGGAUAUCUACAGAGCACGAUGACUGCACGUAGGGUACCUGGUGUCAGUGGUUUUCAUAAUGUAACAGGUGUUUAGAGACCUGUGAAGGGAUAGCUUAAUGUCUUUAAUAAUUUUUUCUGUUAACUUUAAUAAUUUUUUUUCAGAGCCAUUCUAGGCUUCCGAGCAAUAAACAGGAGUUCUAUAUUAGAAACUUGAAGGCCAUUACCUGUUCUGUUGAAGCUGAUAUUAGAACAAGUGGUCCUUAUUCUAAUACCUGUUCAUCUCUCAAUUUUCAGAGCCAUCCACCUGCUAGCCUUAUCCAACUCUGGUACAACAUAGCAAACACAACAGCUUAUGAAAUAAGGUAAGUCUAUGGCUCAUAUGCUUUUUGCUAUUUUCAUGUUUCCCACUUAUUUAAAUAUAAAUUAUAAUUCACCUUUUUUCUUAAUUUGCAUUAGCAAUAUUCUCAUCUAUCUGCACUAGGUUAAAAUAGCAAUAUCAUACAUUUUAAAUUGCCAUUUAAAAUAUGUAGUACCUUGUACUAAAACAGGAAAAUAUAUUUCUAAUUAUUUUUAAAUAUAGGAUUUCUUUUUGGCCCAACUAUUCAUUGUAACUUUUGAAAGUCUUAGGUGGAAUCAUAGCAAGUUUUGUUUAAUGACUCUAUAUGAAAGAAAAAUCAGUAUUGAUUAAGAUUUUGAAAAAUAGAUGAAUAUUCUAAUAAAGUAUCGUUAAAUACAUUUUAAGAUAAUCUA